rnacentral:lncRNA from 1 species
AUAAAAGUUUUUUUUGCGAGAAUAAAAGUAAAAGUUACAGGAUUUAAUAAAGCACACAAAUUAAUCAUCUGACUUAUUUUGUUCACUCCUCUCAGCUUGCACAUAAUUAUGAACUGUAGGUGCUAGAAUUGCUGAAAAACAUAUGAAUUGGAACAGAAUUGGAACUGUAAAGUUUUUACAGUUUAUCAAAUGCAUUAUCAAAUGCAUUUAGCAAAAACAUCAUCCAGGAAAGAGAUUAAAAAGAAAACAAAGAAUAAUAAUCUCUAAUUACAGUAACAGGAGGAUCACCUAUGAACUACUUUUUUGAUUCUGGAAAAGGGGAGGGAUGAGAGACUGAAAUUUGGCAGGAGCAGAGUGGCUGAGAAGAUGGCAGAUAAGAACCAGAGUUUUGAAUCAUGAUGCAAAAAGGAGCCGGCAGAGAGACUGGAGUCAAGGAGUUGCAUGAGGGAAACAAUGAGGGGAAAACAUAAGGCAACUGGCAAAAUUCUCCAUGAGUUAGAGUGGACCGAUGGUCAGAAAGACUAAGGUGUGAUAAUGUAGGCAGGAGAGUAUCAUGGCCUACACCAGAAGCUGUGUAGAUCAGCUGAUAAGGAAGGGGGGCAUUAGCGCUUUUUAGAUGAUAAGAAUAGGACUAUGUGUUGGGAAUAGGGCAGGGAGGGAUCAAGAGACACAGCAGGAUUUUUAGCAGAGGAGGAGAUGGAGAGGGUGGUGGCAGAGCCAAAAAGGCAGGAAAGAGAAGGAGAGGCCCACAGAGGAAGAGGAAGGAGAAGGAAAAAAAGAUUCAGAAGGAAAUGGCUGUGCGACAGGCAGAGAUUGGAUGAGCAGCAGGAAUGUGGCAGGCUUCAGACUGCUCCUACAGAGAAAAAUCCAAGGUCGGACACAUGUUGUCUGCAAGACAUCUAACCGAUUGGCUGAUCCGCCAGAAAAUUUGAAGAAUGCUUUUUCUGAUUGGUUAGUUCAUCAGUUGGCAGCCUCAUACCUUGGGCAUUAGAGUCUUGUAGGAGUAUGGAUUUAAUAAGUCAAAAGUGAACUCAAGAGUGUUGAUACAAAUGCUUUCUUUUUAGUUAAUAAAAGAUUUGUCAGGGCUGUCCUUUUUCACUAUAUUUGUGUCCAUUCUUCCUGUUUAUUCUUUA